rnacentral:rRNA from 1 species
AACGAACGCUGGCGGCAGGCCUAACACAUGCAAGUCGAACGAGAUCUUCGGAUCUAGUGGCGGACGGGUGAGUAACGCGUGGGAACGUGCCCUUCUCUACGGAAUAGUCCCGGGAAACUGGGUUUAAUACCGUAUACGCCCUUCGGGGAAAGAAUUUCGGGGAAGGAUCGGCCCGCGUUGGAUUAGGUAGUUGGUGGGGUAAUGGCCUACCAAGCCGACGAUCCAUAGCUGGUUUGAGAGGAUGAUCAGCCACACUGGGACUGAGACACGGCCCAGACUCCUACGGGAGGCAGCAGUGGGGAAUCUUAGACAAUGGGGGCAACCCUGAUCUAGCCAUGCCGCGUGAGUGACGAAGGCCCUAGGGUCUAAAGCCUUUGCCGGAGAUAAUGAC